CGGCCAUUUUGGUGGCUCAGCUUUUUCCUAGGGUUAGAUUGGAGGGUCAGCACGUGGCUUGGUUACGAGGCUGUCAGAACAAUCCACAAGGUGAUAAGGCUAAGUCGAUACCAAACUACAAGAUCUUGGACCUCCACAAUGUGGCGACUGCAGACUGUUAACAUGGGGUGAGAUCUUUAGGGCCCUGUGUUUUGCACGAGGCACUGUUUUAGCUGUAUUUCCAGCAUUAUCCAGCUGGUGUCACUUCAGUCCCUUUUUUUGUUUCAAUCAACCAGCUCACCAAUUUAUCAAAGCAUUGAGGAUUAUUUCCCUAACAUGACCAAGAUUGGGAAACAAUAUCCCUUUCUAAUAAUUCUGUAAAUGUGGGAAGAGUUGUUAAUAAAAGGGCUGACUCAUCAAUGGAAAUGUGCUGUGUGAGAUUAUUUUUUAUUUAUGUUCCUGAUUGUUAUGUAAGGCUGAAACAUUAAAAUAUUUUGAUCAGA